AGAGCCCGAUCCACAAGAGGGUUGCGAGUAGGACGUUUAGUUUGUUUACUUUUCAUUUAUUUAUUUGAUUAUUAGUUGUUCUUUUCGAAUGGUCAUUCUCCUAUCCCUAUUAGGUAUCGUGAAUUAUUGUGUAAGGAAUGUAAACCCCAACGCUAUUAUUUCACUUUCGCACUUAAUUUAUAAUUUACUUCCUUUUAAAUUCACGGGUCCUUGCACUUUCACUCAAUAU
rnacentral:lncRNA from 1 species